CCUUUUGUGACGAGCUUUCACCCCACCGAGACGAGACCUGGGAGAGCUACAAGACAAAUACUUCAUGUCAUAUAUCUUUCCUGCUUUAGGCAGGGAGUUUCUCGGCCGGCUGCAUGUCUGGGCUCUGUCCGUCUGUUAAACUCGUCUGAGGUGCAUCAGCAGACUCCCAAAGACGUCCACAAACGGUAGAUCCUCAUUCUUUAAAGACAAGGAAAAAAAUAUAUAUAAA